AUAAUAUUUUGUUAUGGCAUUUUAUUAUUGUCACAAAAGUCUGUUAUUUUUCCAAAUGUCACAAGGUAUUUAUUCUGCCAUGUGGACAGAUGAUAUGUCCAUUCCAAUCGUUGGAUAGAGAGAACAUGAUCUAGAUUAGUCAC